CAGCCGUAAACUAUGCGCGUUAGGUGUACUGGUGACCACGAGUCACCGGGGUGCCGAAGGGAAACCGUGAAACGUGCCGCCUGGGAAGUACGGUCGCAAGGCUGAAACUUAAAGGAAUUGGCGGGGGAGCACCACAACGGGUGGGAGCCUGCGGUUUAAUUGGACUCAACGCCGGAAUCUCACCGGAUAGGACAGACAUAUGAUAGUCGGGCUGAAGACUCUACUUGAUGAUCUGAGAGGUGGUGCAUGGCGUCAGUGACU
rnacentral:rRNA from 1 species